GGGAGCGUAGCUCAGUUGGGAGAGCGCCGCCCUUACAAGGCGGAGGUCGGAGGUUCAAGCCCUCUCGCUCCCACCA
rnacentral:tRNA from 1 species